rnacentral:rRNA from 1 species
GCGACCCCAGGAUGGGCGGGGCCACCCG